rnacentral:lncRNA from 1 species
ACCUUUUUUUUUUUAUUCAAAAUCUCUUACCCUUUCGUCUCUUCUUUUUCCUUUUUAAGCACUCCUUUCUUUUCCCUUCAAAUUUUCAAAUUCUUCUCAACUAGAUUAUCAUGAAUCACAAGAAAGUAAACCAAAUAAAUCUAAUUUCUCCCUUAAUAAUUCUUGUAAAUAUGAUAGUAAACCUUUAUAAAUUAAAAUUUCCAACAUACCUUUAAAAUUCCUACACUUGGUCACUAUUCCCUCUUUCUCCAACCUUGAAAUUUCUCGUCAAUUCCUACUUAUUUCUUUAAUAUUUACUUAGGAAAGAGCUUGGAUGAAGUGAUGAAUUAAUUUUUGGGUAGCAAGAAGCAAAUUUGGUGUGAAGGUGGUGGAGAGUAGUUGAGAAUUUUCUCCUUUCUACGGCAAGGAGAAAGGAAGAAGAUGAAAAUGGGGAUGGGUUGUUCUAGAUUCUUCUCUCACUUCACUUUUCUUUUUUUUUUUUUUUUUUAUUUGAAAUGGUUAAAAAUAGACCAAG